rnacentral:lncRNA from 1 species
CCCUGAGGCUUAAAACCUUCAACAACGCUUCCUCUGGGGUGUAAGCUCUUCUUACUGGCUCACCCUGUGGAGGGAGUGUACUUUCACCUUCAAUAAACCUUUGAUCUUGCUGCUCCUUUUGCGUGUCCUGCUCAAUUCUUUGUUCAAGACACUAAGAACUUGGAUAAGACCCUUCAUCGAGUAACAAUUUUGUAUUAUUUAACCCAAACUUCUGCCACAUGAGGAAGUAAGAAAAAUCUUUCCCUCACUGGCAUCUGCUUUUGUCUGAAACUUCUCAUCCAAACAGCUUAGACUUUCUUGGUAUUCUGGCAUAAAUACUCUGAAGAACCCAUUAGAAGACUUGAAAGAGUACAGAAAGAGGAAAUCUCAAGAAUAGGUAAGAUUCUGCUUUGUGAGAAAGGGAAGUCGUGUGUCUGCUCUCCGAAACUCUGUUCUCAGUAAAAGCACCAUCAGGUCGAGAAAACAUGUACGUCAAUCAGUUCCUCUUUGCUUAAAUGAAUUCCGCAUGAAUUUGUCAUUUGCAACCAAGAGUUCUGACAAAUACAUUGCACAAGAAAAGAGAAAUCAUGAAUCAUGAAAAAUGGAUCUUAAUUCCUUUAAGAUGAUGGAGCCAGCAGCAAAUCACAUCUCUGUGCUGGGAACAGAGACAUCUAGAGAACAACUUCUUCGUGAGAAGAAAGAGAAGAGCUCUGGGAAUCAAGAAAGAACCAGUAGGAAAGCUAAAAAUCACAGAGAACAGAAGACAACCAGAGAAAGGAAUGAAGCAGUGUGGAAAGCUAACUCUGACUCCAGGGUAGAGGGGAUCUCACCCCCAAACACAAGAUACCUUGAAGUCUGCCUUGAAGAGGGAAGAAACAAAGACAAGAGCUUGGUGGAUAGAAUAACAGGAUCUCACUAUGUAGACCAGGAUGGCUUGAACUCACUAUGUAGCCCAGUUGGCCUCGAAUUCAUGGCGAUCCUCCUGCCUCAGCAUCCCAAGUACUGGGAUUACAGGUUUAUCCUGGAGGACUUUUUCCUAGAUUCCUGUAACUAAAAAUUAGCUACAACAAUGUUUCUGAAAGAGGUUUUGGAUAAGCCAUCUAAAGCCUUAUAUACUUGAUACUAUUUUUAUUUACUUGUAUUUAAAUGAUAGUUGGGC